rnacentral:lncRNA from 1 species
UUUUUUCUUUCUGAUUCUUCCAGAAGAGGACUAAAUUGGUUGGUGGAUGAUAGUUGUCCUUUGUAUGGAGGCUGGAUGUAGAAGGUGCUGCAAGCUCUGCAAGCUGAUUAGUUAAUGUGGAAGCUGAAACCUGCCUUGGGAAGCUGACCAUUGACCAUUGUCUUGCUUUUACCUGGGUUGCUUCCUUGUUUCUCUUUAGGUUUUUAAGAAAGGAUAAAGGCUGAACAGAUCUCUGCAGUUACAAUUAUUCAUACUAGAAGAUACUGCUAACCUCUUUGUUAUUUGAGCAGCUGGAUGAGAUUCCUGAUUUCCAUAAUCUGUACCUGGAGGUUUAUACAGGAGAGGAUCACUGGGGCAGACUUGAACCAUGGUGCCCACAAGUGGGGAGGGUGCUCCAGCGGCCAUGGAAAGAACUUCCUUCUGCAGUUGGAGACAGCCUUCUGUGUGGCGGGUUAUCAUGCUGACUCGACUAACACAAACCCCCAUCUGGAUGCAGUCCAAACGCCAGAUGUGCCCCCGAUUAGUGUCAGUCUGGGGAAUGUUUCCAUGACUGAAAGGCUGAAGGACAGAGUGUGAUUUUCUACUUGGAAGAGACUCCAGGGCUCUGCAGAGAGGGAAGCCCUGCUGACCCAUUUCAGCAGACUGUGACACUUCAGCGACCUGCAAAUUCUACACAUUAGAGUUCAUAUUUUAUACAAACUCCGUACACCUAAGAUGUGGACUUAACAUUUCUACCAACAACAUCCAACUUCCAACAAAAGAUGCAGGCCCAUCAGAAGAUGAAAGCUACUAAUGAAGAUGCAUUAAAGAUGAUAUUUAUGGCCACCCCUUAGGGAAAAAAAGAUUCAUAAAUAAUUUCAUGGAAAUUACACCCAAAAUAGAGUCAUAAUUUCCUCAA